GUCAACCACCCCGCCCUGAAGGGCGGAGCUUGAAAGGAGGUUCGACAGGCUCGGGUUGACCAGGGAAAGCGGUACCCAACCCGCUCCGUUGGCAACAGGUACAAGACCCACCCCGGGAUGCUUCCUCAGUCCCGGGCUCUGGA
rnacentral:sRNA from 15 species